rnacentral:rRNA from 1 species
GAUGAACGCUAGCGGCAGGCUUAACACAUGCAAGUCGAGGGGUAGAGGAAGCUUGCUUCCUUGAGACCGGCGCACGGGUGCGUAACGCGUAUACAAUCUACCUUUUACAGAGGGAUAGCCCCAGAGAAAUUUGGAUUAAUACCUCAUAGUAUUUUCGGAUCGCAUGAUUUGAUUAUUAAAGUUCCAACGGUAAAAGAUGAGUAUGCGUCCCAUUAGCUAGAUGGUAAGGUAACGGCUUACCAUGGCAAUGAUGGGUAGGGGUCCUGAGAGGGAGAUCCCCCACACUGGUACUGAGACACGGACCAGACUCCUACGGGAGGCAGCAGUGAGGAAUAUUGGACAAUGGGCGCAAGCCUGAUCCAGCCAUGCCGCGUGCAGGAAUAAGGUCCUAUGGAUUGUAAACUGCUUUUAUACAGGAAGAAACACACCCUCGUGAGGGUACUUGACGGUACUGUAUGAAUAAGGGACCGGCUAACUCCGUGCCAGCAGCCGCGGUAAAG